UUUCCGGUUGAUCCCGCCGGAGGCCACUGCUAUCGGGGUUCGAUUAAGCCAUGCGAGUCGAGAGGGUUUAGACCCUCGGCGGACUGCUCAGUAACACGUGGAUAACCUGCCCUAAGGUGGAGGAUAACCCCGGGAAACUGGGGAUAAUACUCCAUAGAUUAGAGAUACUGGAAUGUUCUUUAGUCAAAAGUUCUGGCGCCUUAGGAUGGAUCUGCGGUCGAUUAGGUUGUUGUUGGGGUAACGGCCCAACAAGCCUGUAAUCGAUACGGGUUGUGGGAGCAAUAGCCCGGAGAUGGAAUCUGAGACAAGAUUCCAGGCCCUACGGGGCGCAGCAGGCGCGAAAACUUUACAAUGCAGGAAACUGUGAUAAGGGAACCCCGAGUGCCCGUAUACGCGGGCUGUCCAGGUGUUUAAAAGUCAUCUGAAGAAAGGGCCGGGCAAGACCGGUGCCAGCCGCCGCGGUAAUACCGGCGGCUCGAGUGGUGGCCACUAUUAUUGGGCUUAAAGCGUCCGUAGCUGGACUGAUAAGUCUCUUGGGAAAUCCGCCGGCUCAACCGGCGGGCGUCUAAGGGAUACUGUUGGUCUAGGGACCGGGAGAGGUGAGAGGUACUCCGGGGGUAGGAGUGAAAUCCUGUAAUCCCCGGGGGACCACCGAUGGCGAAGGCAUCUCACCAGAACGGCUCCGACAGUGAGGGACGAAAGCUGGGGGAGCAAACCGGAUUAGAUACCCGGGUAGUCCCAGCCGUAAACUAUGCGCGUUAGGUGUGCUGGUGACCACGUGUCACCGGGGUGCCGA
rnacentral:rRNA from 1 species